rnacentral:rRNA from 1 species
AAUGGUGAAGCCGCGAAAAGCUCAUUACAACAGCUAUUGUUUAUUGGAUCUUUACAUUCUUACACGGAUAACUGCGGUAAUUCUGGAGCUACUACGUGCAUUAAACGACGACCUUACGGAAGUCGUGCAUUUGUUAGACCAAACCAAUCGGUCUUCGGACCGUCAUUUGGUGAACUCUGAAUAACUUUGCUGAUCGCACAGUCUCGUACUGGCGACAAAUCCUACAAGUAUCUGCCUUAUCAACUUUCGAUGGUAGUUUAUACGACUACCAUGGUUGUAACGGGUAACGGAGAAUAAGGGUUCGACUCCGGAGAGGGAGCCUGAGAAACGGCUACCACAUCCAAGGAAGGCAGCAGGCGCGCAAAUUACCCACUCGCAGCACGCGGAGGUAGUGACGAAAAAUAACGAGGUGGCUCUCUACGAGGUCCGCCAUCGGAAUGGGUACAAUUUAAAUCCUUUAACGAGGAUCUAUUGGAGGGCAAGUCUGGUGCCAGCAGCCGCGGUAAUUCCAGCUCCAAUAGCGUAUAUUAAAGUUGUUGCGGUUAAAAAGCUCGUAGUUGGAUCUGCGUUUGGUGAAAGCGGUCGCCCGACGGGUUGUUACUGCUUCUCCCGAACUAAUCAUUCGGUUUUCCCUUGAUGCUCUUCAUUGAGUGUCCUGGGUGACCGGAACUUUUACUUUGAAAAAAUUAGAGUGCUCAAAGCAGGCGAUUCGCCCGAAUAUUCGUGCAUGGAAUAAUGAAAAAGGUCCUUGUAGCCUUUUAUUGGUUAUUGUUAUGAGGAAAUGAUCGACGGGGACAGACGGGGGCAUUUGUAUUGCGACGUUAGAGGUGAAAUUCUUGGAUCGUCGCAAGACAAACUACUGCGAAAGCAUUUGCCAAGAAUGUUUUCAUCAAUCAAGAACGAAAGUCUGAGGUUCGACAGCGAUCAGAUACCGCUUUAGUUCAGACCGUAAACGAUGCCAUCUGGCGAUCCAUGGGUGUUAUAUAUGACUCCAUGGGCAGCCACCGGGAAACCUUUAAGUUGGGUUCCGGGGGAAGUAUGGUUGCAAAGCUGA